UGACAGAAAAUACAUGGCGAAGAAGCAGCAAAAUCCAGUGUUGCAGUGGUACGAAGAAGUAAUGGAAGCUAGACGUGAACCAGUGCACGAAGGUCAGCCUUUGCAGGGCAGUGUGAGCGUGUGGAAGAGUUUUUGUCAACAGAGGCAGGCAGGCAGGCAGGCAGUCCAUUCCACCCGUCCACUUGACAGAUGCUGGAGAAAAUCGAAAAAUACUCAACCACCGGUCCUGGGAAGACAACUGGGAAGAGAAGGGCCCAGAGUGCCAUCAUGAGCGGACCUGAUGGCUAGAAAGCACAUACACACACACGGACACACACUUUAUCGUCCAGAAACCGACAGGCGGGAUGAUUGGCAACCGCUCGAAGUUGAUUGAAAAGAAAACACUAGAACCAUAAUUACUGUGGUGGUGUUGCGCUGGGUAGGCGAGAGGUAAUCUAAAAGAGAGCAGCAGCAGCAGCAGCACCAUCAGCUCUAGUUGUAACGCGCGUGGCACGGUGUGGCUCGUUGAGGCGAGAACAUCCCGAAGUGUUCGGUACCGUUCGAGUGGAUUAGGACUUUUUCGUUCAACCUCUCCCGUCCCGAGGUCCCGAGGUCCCGAGAUACGAGCCAUGCGAAGAAUGCGGACGCAAAGCAACAUUGGAGCAACCGUAUGCGUACGGUCUAGAUGUAACUAUUUUUACUAGUCACCAGUGUGACGAUUGUACCAUGUGUGCAAGGCACGUUGGAAAGCGAAAAAAUGCAUUUGCACACGUGGUCUUCCAAUCUUCAAAGCCAAUUUACCAAUCCACAACCUGUGCACAGCGACAAUCCUAGCAACCACUGCUUGGUCACGCUAAUCAG